rnacentral:lncRNA from 1 species
GCACCUGCAGCAUAUGGAAGUUCCCAGGCUAGGGGUUGAAUCAGAGCUGCAGUUGCCAACCUACACCACAGCCCAGGCAAUGCCAAAUCCUUUAACCCACUGAGCAAGGCCAGGGACAGAACCUGUGUUCUCAUGGAUUCAUUUCCACUGAGCCACAACGGGAACUCCCUUCCAUAUUGUCUUUUUAAAAUAAGAUUUGUUAACAACAAAACCAAUGUGUGUAUUAUUUUAUACAUCUUACAGUUAGAAAAUGGAUGCGAAAAGACACCAUGCUUACAGAAUCCACAUGCUACUUUAACAGACAAAACCUUAAAGACAUCUAUUUUAAAUGACAGCUCUUACUGUGAGAGAUUUGCUUCAUAUUCUACCUAUUAUUCCUGGACAUACACAGGCUUCCGAGGGUCUUAUGUUCGUCUGUUUGUUCACUUUAGUUUUAUUUUUCUUUUUAGAUCUCCUGCCCAUGUGUAAUGAAAGAACAGAGAAAAUACCAUGGGGUAGAGAGUAGGAUACAGAUGGCACACAGGUGAUGCCCCAGAAGCUACAUGCCCUGAAAACUGAAGUCAAGUUGUAGUGAGGAUAAUUUUCUAGCAAUAGCAUGACUCCAUGCAUUUGGCCCUCCAUGCAUUUACUUCAUUUGGUCCAUGGGUGAACUUGUCACAUUACAUUUAUAAGAAGCAAUAAACCUUUCUGCUUCCAGUACUUCCUGAACCUCCAGUGAGCUCCUACUAGCAACAUUCUGUGUCCAAGUAAUGUUUUUCCUACCUGCAUCCAAACCUGAUUGUCAAAGACACAAAAUACAAUAUCUUUUGGUCCCUCUUUUGCUGAGCUAGCAGCAUGGCAUCUAGCAGACACUUGCAAGUUUGAGAACUGUUAUGAAAUUCACCCCAUCUCAAAUUCAUAUGUUGAAGUCUAACCCCAGUAGCUCAGAAUGUGAUGGUAUUUGGAGAAAGGAUCUUCACAGAGCUAAGCAAGUUAAAACGAGGAUAUAAGUUGGGCCCUAAUCCACUAUGACUGGUGUCCUCAUUAAAGGGAAAAUUUAGAGACAGAUAAAUAUGGAAGGAGGUUGAUGUGAAAACACAGGGAGAAGACAGCCAUCUCCAAGUCAAGGAGGAAAACCAGGAACAGAUCCUUCCUUCACAGUCAUCAGAGAACCAGUCUUCAAGAUGCCAAUAUCUUGCUUUUGAACUUUUAGCCUCCAGAACUGUGAGACAAUAAAUUUCGAUUUUCAAGCCACCCAGUCUAUGGCACUUAAUGGAAGCCCUAGAAAAUUAAUAUGAGUCAUCAUUUAGUCAUUUGCUUCUUAUGCUCAUUUAAUAAAUAAUUGAGACUGACCUGAAAAGGCUUUCAGAUCUACCAUUAGAAAUCCCUCACUCUGGCUACCAAGCAGUCUUUCAGCUGUUUUAUUUUAUUUUUUAUUUAAAAAAAAUAUUUUUGGCCACACUCAUGGCAUGAGGACAUUUUGGCCUAGAGAUCAAACCCAUGCCAUAGCACUAACCAGAGCCACGGGAGACCAUAUUGGAUCCUUAACCAGGGAAUUCCUACUGAGCAGUCUUUAAACAAGAAAUUCUAAUUUUUUUUUUUUUUUUUUUGUUCAAAGUCUGCCUCAGAUUAAAUCCAUUCUAAUUUCUGCCUUGAGUAAGAAAAUUUCACUUUUGUUUGUCCCGUCAAGGUGUAGAACUUUUUUUCCUACAGACUAACAUUAGCCCAGCAAGUCAUCACCCUAUACAAUAAGAUCAAGAUUUCAAUGACAUUUUCUUCUGGGUCCAAAAGUUUCAGAUGCGAGUUAUACAUCAUUUUAUUGUUCACUUACUACAUCAAAAUGCAUAGCAAAUAUAUGCUUCCCUUUAUAUGACACAUGCAUGUCCAUGGGCCAUAUGUACACACACUACACACAUACAUCAGUCACAUUUUCCCAUUUCACAAAGUGUAGCCAUGUACCCAGAACUGGCCCAUCCUAGGGGUCACAGGUAGAGCUCUCACCUGGAGUGGGAGGGAAGAGGGAAAGGAACUUAACACGUAUUUACCAGCUACUGUACAUACGUAAAGUUAAGACAUAUAAUUAAUAUAACAAUGCUGUGAGGUAUGUACCAUUAUGUUUUACAGAUAAAACAAAAUGAACUAAGAGUGCUAAUAGUCAUUCACAUUUAAAUGUCCUGGCCAAGAUAGACACUUUUCUUUUCCCCCAAGUGUUCAGUGCAGUCCCACCAUAUGUAUGUACAUAUAUCCAGGCUUUUUCUUUAAUCAGAAGAAACUUCUAAAAGGCCCAGAAAAAGAAGUCCCGUUCAGUCCUUCUGAUCACAGCAAAGUUUCCUCCUUGCAAGUUUCCAUAGCAGGGCCAGGAGCACCUGGAGGCAGGCGAUCUUUUCUCCCUACCUGUCAAGACUCAGCUUACAUGCCAUCCAUCUCACAGGCCCAGGGAGUAUUUAAUGGGGCCGAUUUGGAUCAGUGGAGAUUGGUGUUUAGGCCGUUCUCCAAGACCUCGAGAAUGGCUGGGAAACAUGCCGAUUUUUGGCAAGGGGUCCAGUGCUUAUUGAGGUUUUAUGUUUAAAUAAACCUAACAUUUUUUGUUAUUGCUGUUGUUGCCUGUUGUUGAAAGCUCUUUCAAUUAUUCAAAUCAAAUCAAUCAGAAUUUAUCAAGCACCUAUUCUGUGCCAGACACAGCAGGAGUGUAAAAAGAUCACGAAGACAGUGCUCCAGAAACUUGAGGAACUAGGAGGAUGCAAUACACCCACAAACAAUGCUAAGAGGCAAAGACAGGAACGAUGAAAGGAGUCCAGAUAAACAGCGACAGGAAUUCAGACAAAGGAGACAUUAUUUCUGGUUGGAAAAAAGACACCAUGGAUAGGGAGCUAGCACGAGAUCCAAACCUUUAGCAAUUCAGUCAUCCAUUCAAAAAGUGUUUAGUGAUCAGCUACCACGUGCCAGGCAUGUGCUAAGAACUAGAGAUAUAAGAGGGACAUAAUCCCUGCCCUCAAAGUAUCUGCAGUCUAGCGAUUAAUGAGACAAUGAGCAAGUAAACUAAUUAAUUAAUUAUAGCUUGUUAUGGGCACUAAGAAUUUAAUGAGCAGAAUGCACUGAUAGUACUAACCAGGGUAGGUGGUGGGGUAGGGUACCUACUUUGGCAAAGUGGGUAGGGAAGGUCUUUCUACAGAGAUGAUUUUUAGUGGAAACCUGAGGCAUGAAGAACUCACCAUAUGAAAAGCAGAGGCUAGAAUGAUCAAGAUUCUGUGAGCAUUAAGCGAAAAGUUCCUAAAAAGAAAAAGAAUCUGGGAUUAUCAAGAAGGACUCAAAAAGUCACCAUGGUCAGAAGAUGGGAGCAUUAGGCAGGUCAGCUUGAGGAGGGGCUGGAGAAGUAGGUGGGGUUUAGGUCUGGCAAAGCAGUAGUCAUGGGAAGGAAACUGGAUCUUCUCCUAAUUGUAGCAGGAACUUUGAAGAGUCGUAAGGUGGGCAGUGGCAUGGAGUCAAUUUGCAUUUCCAAAAGAGAAGUCAAGUUGGAGUACCAUGUGGAGAAUGGGCAGGAGCUGGGAGGUGAAUUAGGAGACUAUAACGAUGGUGCCUUUUCGACAAUGUGUCUUAUACAAGGGUGAAGCUGGGAAAUAUAAAGGUAGAAAUGCAAAACAAAUUUUGAAAUGGGAAACAAACAACAAUAAUUUACUAGAUUGAGGUGUAACAGGUCAUUGAAGUAGACAAAACAACCUAAGCGAAGAUUCAGAGGAGGAAAGCAGUAGGUCUAUGUGGUUUCCUUGAGACUAGAACAGACUACCUCUUCCUUGCAACAGAGCCCUCGGUCAUAGAAUAGCAUUAUCCUCACUCUUUAAUUGAACUUUACUUCCCGCUCCCCACCUCCACUCUCAUGGGCUCAUUAUAAUUAAAAAAUUAAGGUUGCUAGAGUUCACAGACACCUAAGCAAACAGUGAGACCAACAUGCCCCAAAACAUAGUCCAUGUAAUAUUUUUUACACCAGACACUUCUUGAAUAAAAUCAGGGGCUUUAUAGUCAAAUAAGUUUAGAGAAUGACUUUCACAUUCUCUUCCUAGAAAACUACAAAGCAUAUUGACAUACUAAAGACUUUGAGAUUUUAUUAAACACGGUAAUCUAUUUAUUUUGUUAACCCAUUUCCCCCCCAAAGUAAUAGCACUUUGGAUUCCUUAUUCCAUAGUAAAACCCUAGGAAUCCUGUGGAACCAAUGACCUGGCCCACAGGACCAGCUGCAUAAUUUGCAGGGCCCAGUACAAAUGAAAAUGCCCCUUAUUCAAAAAUCAUUAAGAAUUUCAAGUCAGUGACAACAAAGCACCAACUCAGGUGUAGAGCCAUUUAAGCAUGGGCUAAUGAGGGACUGCAUAGACCAAGUACAACCAGGAAGCCAGCCUUGAAUGUUCAUCAUCUUCAAAUUACAGAGGAAAGAACAAACCCAGAAAAAGGAAGUGGGCUUAGGUUAGGUCAAUGGUGGAACCAGAUCUACCUUUGGAACUUGUGAUCAUUAUAAGACAGAUUGGCUUCUGCAAGGUGAACCAGACACAGUGGUUAUAUCUUACUGCUACAUCUAUAAUUGACAUCACUCCUCCAUCAGGCACAACAGUGCCAUCUCUGGUCUUGACCACUUCAGCAGGCUCUAACCACCGUAAGAGUCCAACUCUGGCAUAUCUUACCUCUAAUUUGCUACUCAAGCCAAUUUCACUGCUCUUUUCGGUUAUCACUCUGGGUUUAUUGUACCUGGUCACAGAACAUAAUUACCUUCCUAAUAGCAGUGCGGGGACAAAAUAUGGCUUUAAGAAAUAUUAUGAAUUGCCUUCUGGAGAUGAAUAAGAAAGCCAGGUUAGAAGAGCAGAGGAGAAGACUAUGAUUGUUUGACUUUUGCUCUAUUUGUGAAACAAACCAAUUAUCUCCUAUCUAUACUCCAUAAAACAUAUAACAUAAUAUUCUGUACAUAGCAAGUGCUCAGAAAAGAAAGCGCCCUUUCUCUCUUAAAGGUAGGGAAGUUGAAGUCUAUAUGGAAAGAGAAUGAGUGAAUAAGGAAAUUCCAGUGCCCUGUGAAACCAUAAACUGGGUGAUGUCUAGUUCUCCAAGGAGGGACUUCAAAGGAAAGGAUAUGGAUGAGCUCUGGAACAGACUGCCCUGAAAUAGACAUAUUUCAGGGACAGAAAGUAGAAGCUGCAAGUAGAGGUAGAACACACAGCAAUAAAAGGAAUGUGGAAGCUUAGAGAAGACAAAUGGAGAGUGUAGAGGAUUUACACUGUUUUUUCCUGAUGUAUAGUCAUCACUCCCCAAAGAAACAAAACCAAAAGAAUGUAUAUUCAUGGAGAGAAAGUGGCAGGGGGAGGGGGAAACAGAAGGAGGGAGAGUGAAUAAUGGCCGUGCUAUUAUGAAGGCUGACAAGUCUCAAGACCUACAGGGUGAGUUGGCAAACCAAAGAACCAGGAGAACCAAUGAUGUGAAUUCUCAUCCGAAGGCCAGCAGGCUUGAGAUUCGGGAAGACACAGAGCAGGAACAGUUAAGGACCCCUAUCUGGCAAGGAUUUACCUAAGAAUGAUGCCAACAUGGAAGAACAGAGCUGAGAGAUGAGGACAAAGAAAAAGAAAGUCAAUCUUGGUGACAUGGUUUGGUGUGACCUUCUGUCUCAACUUUGCAUGGACUUUUUAGUUGCCUGAGUUUCAUUUCAUGCUUAAAUUGAUUUAAGGUAAGUCCUUUUCUUGUGUGAGCAAUCAGUCCUGACAGGUGCUGGGAGCACAUUAUGCUCAGAGAGUAAGUCAAGGGAAUGGGCCUCCCUCAUCUAAGGAGCAGUGAGAAAGCAGCUGGCAGCUCUACUUGCCAAACGGUUCUUUUGAACUAAGUUACAGCAUCACUGAAAGAGGACGAGUAACUGGACUUAGCUCCUGAGGCUGAAGCUAAAUCUAUGAACUACUAACAUCAUACUGUUAACUGGAAAUCAUUCUGUUCCUGAAAUUCCAUCACUUUGACAAUGAACCUCAUCAGGUAUCAUUUUAUAUGAGCAUAUACAGUGAAUUAUCAGGGUUGGGAUUGGGAGACAGCAGAGAGCUUAAAAUCCCAACUUCUAUUGUUUUGAAUGAUGAAAACUAAAAGUAGGACCCCGAAUGGUUCCAGGGAUAAGUUAGAAGUAUAGGCAGGGGCUCCUUGAUGUCAGCAAGAAAGUGGAAUAGGAGGCUCUGAACUGUCCUUCUCCCCGCAGACACACUGAUCCAACAGCAACACAUGGCUCAGCACCCUUUGUAGAAAAUCCAGAAACCAGAAGUUCCUAUGUCCUGGGCGUGUACAAAUCCAGUGCCACCAAAACCAAUAGGAAAAACAAAGAAUCUCCCUAUCACCAUAAACCCCAUCCCUGGUACAGGGCCAUAUGGUCAGGGGGAAUGCCACAGCUCCAGGUUUCUUUCUAAGAAGCAAAGGAGUUAGACUACCCAGCUAGUGUCCUAGCUUUCCUGAGUGCUACCCAAGUUACUGGUUUGAAUCUUGCCUGUCUCAUUUGACAGGGCCUGGCAUUUGCUAUUCCUUGGUGUUACAGAGAACAAAGUGGUUGGAACAGGUGUGCAGGCACUUAGGGCAGCUCUUCCCUCCAGCUCAGCACAUAGUGAGCAGACAAUAAACCCCAGCUUCUAGCUUUUCCCAAGGAGGAAAAUAAUUGAAUCAUACAUCUAAUGGCCAAAGUUUUCCUAGUGCUGCCCAAGGAAGUGGUUUCUCACUUGUCUCACCUGUACUGAAAUGACCUGGCAUACUCUAGGUGCCUGGGGCCUACAAGGAACAAAGAAAACAGGGUGGACUAGAACAAAGUUUUGAGAGGCCCCAGAAUCGCUGACUGGACACACUGGAGGGUCUCCUCCUGUACAAGGUCAGUCCAUGUACUCUGGGAGAAGUGGUUGUUUUAUGUAAUGCAUAGACACCAACAGAGAGGGUAAAAGAAAAUAAGAAAUGAGGAAAUGUAUUCCCCAACCCCAUCCCCUCCAAAAAAGAACAGGAUAAACCUUCAGAAACCAGCCAUAAUGAAAUGAUGAUGUACGAUUUGCCUGUUCAAUGGUAUGUUUUACAGAAAUAGGAAAACCUAUUAUAAAAUUUUUAUGAAACCACAAAAGACUGUGAACAGCCAAAACAAUCUUGAUAAAGGAGAAUAAAGCUGGAAAUAUCACGUGUCCUAAUUUCAAAAUAUAUUACACAGUUACAACAAUCAAAACAAUGUUGGCACUGGAAAAAAAGACAAAUAUAUAGAACAAAAGAAAAAAAUAUUGAUCCCAGAACUAAACCCACACAUAUAUGGUCACUAAAGCCUAAACAAGAGUGUCAAGAAUAUAUAGUAGGAAAAGGAUGGUGCCUUCAGUGAAUGGUGGGAAAACCGGAUUUCCACAUACAAAGUAGUCAAAGUAUACCCUACUAUACACUACACACAAAAAUUAACUCAAAAUGGAUUAAAAUUUAAACGUAAGAGCCGAAACUAUAAAACUUCUAGGCGACAA